GAUGAACGCUGGCGGCGUGCCUAAUACAUGCAAGUCGAGCGAUCGGACGAGAUGCUUGUUUCUCUGAUGUUAGCGGCGGACGGGUGAGUAACGCGUGGAUAAUCUACCUAUAAGACGGGGACAACUUCGGGAAACCGGUGCUAAUACCGGAUAAUAUCUUUAACCGCAUGGUUCAAGAGUGAAAGACGGUCUUGCUGUCACCUAUAGAUGUAUCCCGUUGGCAUAAGUUGGUUGUGAAGGUAACGGCCUACAAAGCGAACGAACAAUAGCCGACUUGAGAGGGUGAUCGCCCACACUGGAACUGAGCCACGCUCCAGACUCCUACGGGAGGAACAGUUAGGGAACCUUCGGCAAUGGGCGAAGGCCUGACGGAGCAACGCCGCGUGAGUGAUGAGGGUCUUCGGACCGUAAAACUCUGUUGUUAGGAAAGAACAUAGUGGGAAGUAAAUGCGCACAACUUGACGGUACCUAAUCAGAAAGCCACGGCUAACUACGUG
rnacentral:rRNA from 1 species